UACGUAGGGAGCAAGCGUUGUCCGGAAUCAUUGGGCGUAAAGCGCGUGUAGGCGGCCAGAUAAGUCCGCUGUGAAAACUCGAGGCUCAACUUCGAGCUGUCGGUGGAAACUUUCUGGCUAGAGUCCGGAAGAGGAGAAUGGAAUUCCUGGUGUAGCGGUGAAAUGCGCAGAUAUCAGGAAGAACACCCGUGGCGAAGGCGGUUCUCUGGGACGGUACUGACGCUGAGACGCGAAAGCGUGGGGAGCGAACAGG
rnacentral:rRNA from 1 species